CCUCCCAAUCCCUCCAUUUCCUCUAUGAAGUCCUUUUCUUACCUUCUCAUCUCUUCACAAAACCUUUCUUUCUUUCCUUAAUCUGCAAUGUUUAUUUCCUCCAUCCUGACAUCGUCAAGAGGGAGUCUCCUUAUCUUUCUUUUAUUUAUUCUUCUCCCUUUGGUUUCUUCCUCCACCUCACAUCUCUUCCAUCCAUCUACCAUUAAAAUAUUAUCCCACUUCUCCCACCUCCAAAGAAGUCUCUUCUUUGUUCUCCACUUGUUCCACCACCAAC
rnacentral:lncRNA from 1 species